rnacentral:rRNA from 1 species
CUGGCUCAGGAUGAACGCUAGCGACAGGCUUAACACAUGCAAGUCGAGGGGCAGCAUAGAAGUAGCAAUACUUGGUGGCGACCGGCGCACGGGUGAGUAACGCGUAUGCAACCUACCUAUCAGAGGGGAAUAACCCGGCGAAAGUCGGACUAAUACCGCAUAAAACAGGGGCACCGCAUGGUGAUAUUUGUUAAAGAAAUUCGCUGAUAGAUGGGCAUGCGUUCCAUUAGGUAGUUGGUGAGGUAACGGCUCACCAAGCCGACGAUGGAUAGGGGAACUGAGAGGUUGGUCCCCCACACUGGUACUGAGACACGGACCAGACUCCUACGGGAGGCAGCAGUGAGGAAUAUUGGUCAAUGGGCGGGAGCCUGAACCAGCCAAGUCGCGUGAAGGAAAGAAGGAUCUAUGGUUCGUAAACUUCUUUUGCAGGGGAAUAAAGUGCAGGACGUGUCCUGUUUUAUAUGUACCCUGAGAAUAAGGAUCGGCUAACUCCGUGCCAGCAGCUGC